AAGAAGCCCCGCCUAAUUAUUUGCCAGCAGCCGCGGUAAUAAUUAGGGGGCUAGCGUUAUCCUCAUUUUUUGGGUGUAAAGGGAGCGUAGUCGGCUGUGCAAGUCUGAAGUGAAAGGCAUGGGCUCUACCUGUGGACUGCUUUGGAAACUGUGCAUCUUGAGUGUCGGAGAGGUAAGUGGAAUUCUUAGUGUAGCGGUGAAAUGAUGUAGAUAUUAUGGAGGAACACCUGUGGUGAAGGUGGCUUCUUGGACGAUGACUGACGUUGAGGCUGGUAAGAAUGGGGAGCAUACAACAUUAGAUACCACCGUAGUCCUCCCCGUAAUCGAUGACUGAUAGGUGUCGUGUAUCAAAGUUAUUCGGUGCCCCAGCUAACACAAUAAGCAGUCCCCCUGGGGAGUACGUUCGCAAGAAUGAAAAUUAAAGGAAUUGACGGGGAGCCGCCCCAGCGGUAGAGCAUGUGGUUUAAUUUGAAGCAACGGGAAGAACCUUUCCCGAUCUUGACAUCGCGAUGGCCGGUUCGUAAGGGAAGCUUUUCUUUGGAACUUUGGUGACAGGUGGUGCACGGUUGUCGUCAGCUCGUGUCGUGAGAUGUUGGGUUAAGUCCCGCAACGAGCGCAACCCUUAUCUUCAGUAGCCAUCAUUUUGGAUGGGCCCUUUGGAGAGCCUGCCCGGGAUAACGUGGAGGAAGGUGGGGAUGACGUCAAAUCAUCAUGCCCCUUAUGUCCAGGGCUACACACGUGUUACAAUGGCGUGAACAAAGAGAAGCAGAUCCGCGAGGCGGAUCAAAUCUCAAAAACAAGGUUUCAGUUGGGAUUGUUGUUGGCAACUGGCCCCCAGGAAGCGGGUUUCGUUGGUAUUGGCCGUUCAGCAUGGUGCGGUGAAUAAAUUCCCGGGUCUUGCACUCACCGCCCGUCA
rnacentral:rRNA from 1 species